GACGAACGCUGGCGGCGUGCUUAACACAUGCAAGUCGAACGGAAAGGCCCUGCUUUUGUGGGGUGCUCGAGUGGCGAACGGGUGAGUAACACGUGAGUAACCUGCCCUUGACUUUGGGAUAACUUCAGGAAACUGGGGCUAAUACCGGAUAGGAGCUCCUGCUGCAUGGUGGGGGUUGGAAAGUUUCGGCGGUUGGGGAUGGACUCGCGGCUUAUCAGCUUGUUGGUGGGGUAGUGGCUUACCAAGGCUUUGACGGGUAGCCGGCCUGAGAGGGUGACCGGCCACAUUGGGACUGAGAUACGGCCCAGACUCCUACGGGAGGGAGCAGUGGGGAAUAUUGCACAAUGGGCGGAAGCCGGAUGCAGCAACGCCGCGUGCGGGAUGACGGCCUUCGGGUUGUAAACCGCUUUCGCCUGUGACGAAGCGUGAGUGACGGUAAUGGGUAAAGAAGCACCGGCUAACUACGUG
rnacentral:rRNA from 1 species